UACGAAGGGGGCGAGCGUUGUUCGGAAUUACUGGGCGUAAAGCGCACGUAGGCGGCUUUGUAAGUUAGAGGUGAAAGCCCGGGGCUCAACCCCGGAAUUGCCUUUAAGACUGCAUCGCUUGAAUCCGGGAGAGGUGAGUGGAAUUCCGAGUGUAGAGGUGAAAUUCGUAGAUAUUCGGAAGAACACCAGUGGCGAAGGCGGCUCACUGGACCGGUAUUGACGCUGAGGUGCGAAAGCGUGGGGAGCAAACAGG
rnacentral:rRNA from 1 species